AAUUCUCAACCUCACCUAGUUUUCGAAGUUGUGUGAUGGCUUGGACUUGGGAGUUUUGCAGGCUGCAGUCUAACUGCGGUUCUGCUCUCCUUAAAUAUAUUAGCAGGUCUUUUACCUCUAUCCCAACGGUGUGAUAAUCUAUCUACGCUGCUGGUUUGGAGACCCUUUAUUGGGGGACUAGCUUAUAACCGUCCGCAAGGACAAAAUGACCAA
rnacentral:misc_RNA from 1 species